rnacentral:rRNA from 1 species
AUGGCGAUCGGAGCGCCGCGCGACACAAGUAACAUCCUGGAGGACGUGUGGGCGACCAUCAUGACCGAGACGCCGUCGGGGUGCACGCCGAUGCCCGCGUCGUCGACAUCUUUCGUGGAUCAGGCCGGAGCCGAGAUCCUGCAGCGGCUGCCGAGCCUGGGGAGGUGGAUCUCCAUGGGCGCCGACGAGUGGGACGAGCUGCUCAGCGUGGCGGACGCGGCCACACCGCCAGUUGCUGAGCAGCCGCCGCUCGCGGCGGCGUCGCCUCGAGGAGGAGAAGGGCAGCAGAGCGCUGCCGCUGGAAGCAAGGCCGCGUUGCCCAAGAGCUACAGAGGCGUGCGGCGGCGGCCGUGGGGAAAAUUCGCGGCGGAGAUCCGGGACACGCGGCGGCGGGGCGCGCGGGUGUGGCUGGGCACGUUCGCCACGGCGGACGAGGCCGCGCUCGCCUACGACGUGGCGGCGCUGCGCAUGCGCGGCCCGCGCGCGCACCUCAACUUCCCGAUCGAGAAGGUGCAGCGCCGGCUCGACCUGGAGCGCGACAACGGUCAGUUCCUGGACGCCGCCGACCAUCCCACGGGCCGCGCGCGCCGAAAGAGGAGGAGGAGAAGCAGUGCCACCGCCACCGAUCAUGCAAGAACCGUCGACGCCGAUGUCACUGCGGCGUAUGGAGGCUCCGAUCAGAUGGUGUCUUUCACCAACUCAGGGAGAGGUCACGGGACACCAGCGGUGCAAGAUCGGCGUGUGAUGAGCGCUGACGUUGGAGGAGCUGUGGAUCGAGUGAUCGAGUUGGAGGAGAUUGGUGGCGAGUAUUGGGACUACUUGUUCCCGCCUGUGCUAUGA